rnacentral:misc_RNA from 1 species
AGGUCGUAACAAGGUUUCCAUUAACACGUAUCCAAACGUUAAAACCCCCCCGUGAACUUUUAUCCUGCUCUUGUAACCCGCGUAGUUCGCAAUCUCUGAUAAAUCAUAGCCCGGAAAGUUGUAGUGAUUCAGAGACCUCUGGCUACGUGCGAACAUUGGAGUCAGUGUCGGAAAGUGUCAUUGAUUGUGCAAGGAUAGCGCUUCUACGAUUCCUGUAGACCGUACACUCGGGCAUCAGCUUUGCCAAAGGGUCCCCAUGCCCCCUAAUAACCCCACAGUUUAAUGUGAAGCUCAAUGUAAUACAUUGGGUAAAAAAACCGAACAACUGUUAACAAUGGAUAUCUUGGUUCUC